GCGACAGACCGCACGGUUACCUGUAGUCGUCUCAUACCGCCCUAUCUGCUUGACCUGUUGUCCUGGUGGACAAUCUCAACAUUUCACGUUGGCUUUCAGUCCAGAAUAAGUCAGUCAGAUCAACAGUUUACGGAUAAUAAUCACUACUGUUCUUCCCCGGAACUGCAGCGUUCAGAGCUCUACAACAAUGAGGCCCCCUUCCUGUGCUGCUCUACUGUUACUUGCGUUGACCCUCGUCUGGCGUGGAGCAGUGUCUUGGGAGUGUCCUGUGGCCAAGGAAGUCCGUGGCCACCAAUGCCGCUCCGACCGUGACUGCACCAGCGACGGCAAGUGCUGCGCCAUCGACCACACCUACUCGUGCUGGUCGCUGGUGCAAUACAAUCGAGAUAUGCUGAACUGCCCAGCCCGCAAAGAGAUCCAGCCCACCAGUUGCUACAAUGGGUGUUGGACAGACAGCGACUGUCAGGGAGGAAGGAAAUGCUGUCAAAGUCACACAGACUGCGGCCUGACUUGCUACCCGCCGAUCAAGUAUGAGAAGGUGAAGGCCGUCAUCUGCCCGGCCCCCUCAGACCCCCGGGACUUCCGUUGUCACUACCCCUGCCACUCUGAUGCCGACUGUCUGAACAUGGGCCGUUGCUGCAACUUCCCCUGCGGCAAGUCGUGUUGGUGGUCACCCGUGGAGGCCUUCAUCACAGCUACGGUGAGGGGAGAUUGUUCCUAUCAGGAGAACGCUGCUAUAGGGGAGGAGGACGUACGUUUGUCCUGCGAACUCAGGAUCAACUCCACCACACCCGUGCAGGUAGAAUGGUAUAGGGGUCGCGCGCCCAUGCCGAACGGGCGUGGCCGAGUCCACAGUAUGAAGACCUGCAAGGAUCGAGAUUGUCGGAAUUUGGAAACACAUCUAAUGUUUGAUAGAAUACAGAGUGACGACGCCGGUACAUACACCAUGAUUGUCACAUCAGGUCGUGAGAAAUAUGGCCACGCCGUCAAUCUGACGAUCUUCAGCAGUCCUGACAUCGAGAUACACCCUCCACUAAGCACUGUCUACUCCGGGGACAAGGUGGACCUGACGUGCAGGAUUGUCAACUUGGACAAGACAAACCCCUACUACAAAACAGGCAUCAAACUGAAGUGGUGUCACCGAGGGCUCAGCAAUGCAAACAACAACGGUAUCCACUACCACGGUUUCGGCGAGGAGACAAUUCGACUGACCAACGUGAGCGGUGAUGUUGUGAUAGGUUGUGGCCUCAACAGUACGGAUUGCACUGUGACAGCUGAGGUCAAGGUACUGCCUAACGCUGACCGCGGCUGCCCUGUGUCUGUAGACAUCAGGAGGUACAAGUGGCCGUGGACACCCGCCAGCAAGGCCAGGGUCGCACCGUGUCCAGUUGGCUAUUCCGGGAGAGCCAGUCGGUUGUGCAGUGACGUCUCCACGUGGUUUUACCCCAACUACUACCGCUGUGUCAGCCACCGGAUAACCCACGUGGACCGCGAGCUGGGGAAGAUGAAGACAGGGGCGUUGUCAGCCAGCUACAUAACCCCGGUACUGGUACAGCUGGACACGGCAGCAACGGAGCUGAAUCUGACCGGCGGCGACAUUGGCGGUAUCGUGUCUUCCAUCUCUGACAUCAUCAUCCUUGUGAAGGUCACCAGGCGGAAACUGGGGGAAGAUGGACGUGAGUCCUUCAUCAACGUCGUGAACAGCGCCUUGGCCAAGGGUAAUCUACAUGAGUGGAACAUUCUACUCAAGGAGGCGCUCAACCAAUCAACAGUUAGCUCUCUCUUGCGCUCUGUCAGUGACUUUGGACUGCUGACUGCAGAGGACCACGUUGUCAACGAUGACCCAGCUCAUGUGGUCAAGGAGACGAUAUUAUUUGGCGCCGGGAAGACGUCUCCUAAGGACAUGGUGUUCCCCGAUGAUACAACUGACGAACGUGCGGGCGUCCCUAGAUAUAGAAGAUCCAGCAGGGAGACCACGUCAGUCGCUGUUCAGAAGGCUACCCUCGUCAACUUAAUGGACGGUCCCACAGACGAGAUCAAGUGGACGUACUCUAUUUACACGACACUACCAGACAUCAUGAACCUUGACGGGCACACGGAUAGCAUAAGGUCGGUUUCUUUCACUGAGAGAGAGCGAGUAAAGGUCGUGUCAGAUAUUGUCUCCUUCAUGGUGAAGUCGAAGGAGGGAGCUGAAUUGGACCCACCUAUUAGAGCCCGGAUGAAGAUGAGGACACAGGAGGACGAGACAUCCCUCAAUAGUGCGGUCCAGAAGAUGUGCGGCAGGUUCAUUCCUAUCGAAGGAAGCAACACGAGUCGCUGGGUGUCUGCCGGUUGCCAGCUGGUUGUCGACAGCAGUGGGGUCGUGUGUGAGUGCAGCAGGCUCGGUCACAUCGCAGUCCUCACAGUGGAACAGGUGACUCCCAGAGUACAACCGCUGUUCCUGACUCUCCUGAAAGCCGUAUGUUCAGUGCCUCUGCUGGGGGCUAUCAUAAUCAUCAUUGUCCGGAUCAAACGUAGAGCAAUGACGGGCUCCACUGUCUUGUCCCUUAACGUCUGUGGAGCCAUCGUCGGAGCUUACACGGUGUUUGCAUUGAGCAUUGACAUCACAAAGGACGAGGGUCUCUGCCUUGGCGUCGCCGUCACACUGCACUUCCUGUUUACGGUGAUGACUCUAGGAAUGUUAGCUCAGACGGUGUAUCAGGGAAUUAUCUUCAUGCGCCAUCUCACCUCUCUUGUGGUACAUACACCCAAGUGGCUCUACGUCUGCCUCGUCCUGGCUGUGUGGGUGGUUGGCGCAGGAAUAGUGGCCGCAACAGCAUUGGUGGCUAGUCUUGAUAGCUACAGCACAACACGGCUAUGCUGGGUGAACACGAGACGAAACGCGGCCUUGUCGUUACUGGGGACGACCGCGGCGUCACUACUGCUUCAUGUUGGAGUCCUGAUACUGUGCGCGUGUGCUGGUCGGUGUAACCACAGCGAAGGAAAUGUAGAAGAAAAAGUACCCAUGCAGAGCGGGGUGCCAAUGAAAAUAUACCUGGAUAUGGACUCACAGCAUAAUCGGAAACACACUCUUCUCAAACAAGGUUUUCGGACCGUGAUGAUGGUACUGGAGCUCUGUGCUGAGAUCAUGCUGGUCCUGAUGGUGAUGACACACGUUGACGGCAACACGCUGGAGUAUCUGUUCGCCGUCUCUACGGUGUUAAAGACCAUCAUUUUAGUCUAUGUUGAUGCGUACCUUGUGGACAUUGACGCCUCAGCCAAUCAAGGCACAGGUUCGCAUCAUUAACAUCUCAAGUCAUCACAGCAUUUGACGAUCAAAUCAUCGAGCCGUACAGAAUCAGACGGUACAGCGGUUGAGAAUAUAUACGAGGAGGUCCUGAACGUAAACCAACGUACUCCCCGCUCGUGACUUCAACACAUGAGUGAACAAGAUAUUCUGGCGCUGAGAAUGUUUGGAAUGCGUGUCUGUGGAAAACAACAACCGUACACCUACACAGACAUGUGACUCAGUAUGUACCAACAGCUGAGGUAUAUAUGACGGCAUAUCCAGACAUUAGAAGUGGACAUACCGUGAACGUGAAGUAGAGUAUAUGAACACAUGUUGUACCUGUAGUACAUUAUACUGGCAUACUUGUGUACGUGUAGAACAGUAUAUGGACACGCUGUGUACCUGUAGUACAUUAUACUGGCAUACUUGUGUACGUGUAGAACAGUAUAUGGACACGCUGUGUACCUGUAGUACAUUAUACUGGCAUACUUGUGUACGUGUAGAACAGUAUAUGGACACGCUGUGUACGUUUACGACAAUGUAUGGACACAUUGUGCAUGUGUAGUACAGCGUGUGACAAGUACAGUAUAUCACACUUUUUGCAAGUGUAGCAAAGUUUAUAGACAUAUGUAGUAUAGUAUAUGGUCAAUACGAUAUAUUGUCACUCCGUGUUCGUGUAGUACAAUAGAGUACAGGGGUUUUCUGUGUUCGUCUAGUACAGUAUAUUCAGUAAGGUUUAGAUGAUGGAAUGUCCCCGACGUCAGCCACGUCCCCUAUACCGAAGCCAGGUGUGUCUAACAAAUAGAGCACAUCUGUACCCAGAGAACCUAGUUAUAAAAGCAGUGGUCCAGUGCCGUGUAUCUAUUUGAAGGGGUUACUAUAUACAGGAAAAAUAUGUAGGUUACGUAGCGUACGGAUCACCGUUAGUUACGUAUACAUACCGAGACUUUACUCCGCGAUACUCUUUCCCGGGCCACAGUCUGUACAGGCGUCCCAUGGAAUCCUAGAAAAUACAGUGCUGCGGUAUCGUACAGUCGCUGUUACAACAAAACAAAACAAAAACAAGCAGAAAGUGUCAACAUUUACCAAAAGGCAAUAAUGCGACAAUGUCCCUUCUAGGAUUCCAUAAGUUUCUGCAACAAAAUCAGAUGUCCGAUAGGCCAUCGGAGAACCAGCAAAAUCAUAUUAUGAUAACUUAAUUUAUGUUUACGUGUUCGGAAAUAAUGUUCAUUUGUGAUAAGAUUUAUGGGUUACCUGGCAGCUGUCGAGCAUGACAUGUUGCAUAUAUAUGUGUAACUCUAAUCCGAAAAUGUGUUCAUUUUGUACAAUAAACUUGUGUCUGUAUUUCA